GUUUGAUCCUGGCUCAGGACGAACGCUGGCGGCGUGCUUAACACAUGCAAGUCGAACGGAAGAUAUAUGGAAUGAUCUGCUUGCGGAGAAUGAAGUAUAUCUUUAGUGGCGCACGGGUGAGUAACGCGUGAGGACCUGUCCAUCAGAGGGGGAUAGCCCCGGGAAACCGGGAUUAAAACCCCAUAAGCCUAAGGGUGAAAGGGAGCAAUCCGCUGAUGGAGGGUCUCGCGUCCUAUCAGGUAGUUGGUGGGGUAAGGGCCUACCAAGCCGAAGACGGGUAGCCGGACUGAGAGGUUGACCGGCCACAUUGGAACUGAGAUACGGUCCAGACUCCUACGGGAGGCAGCAGUGGGGAAUAUUGGGCAAUGGGCGAAAGCCUGACCCAGCGACGCCGCGUGAGGGAAGACGGUCUUCGGAUUGUAAACCUCUGUUGCAGGGGAAGAAGGAAGUGACGGUACCCUGCGAGGAAGCCCCGGCAAACUACGUGCCAGCAGCCGCGGUAACACGUAGGGGGCGAGCGUUGUCCGGAAUUACUGGGCGUAAAGGGAGCGUAGGUGGCCUGACAUGUCAACUGUGAAAACCCGGAGCUCAACUCCGGACUUGCAGUUGAAACUGCCAGGCUUGAGGACGGUAGAGGAAGACGGAACUGCCAGUGUAGGGGUAAAAUCCUUAGAUAUUGGCAGGAACGCCGGUGACGAANGUGGUUUUCUGGGCCGGUUCUUGACACUGAUGCUCGAAAGCCAGGGGAGCGAACGGGAUUAGAUACCCCGGUAGUCCUGGCCCUAAACGAUGUUCACUAGGUGUGGGGAGCGGAAAGCUUUCCGUGCUAAAGCUAACGCAAUAAGUGAACCGCCUGGGGAGUACGCCCGCAAGGGUGAAACUCAAAGGAAUUGACGGGGGCCCGCACAAGCGGUGGAGCGUGUGGUUUAAUUCGAUGCUAAGCGAAGGACCUUACCAAGGUUUGACAUGCUGAUAGUAGUGAAUUGAAAGAGGAACGACCACACUUUGUGUGGAGUCAGCACAGGUGGUGCACGGCCGUCGUCAGCUCGUGCCGUGAGGUGUUGGGUUAAGUCCCGCAACGAGCGCAACCCCUAUUAUUAGUUGCCAGCACUUUGGGUGGGCACUCUAAUGAGACUGCCGGUGAUAAACCGGAGGAAGGUGGGGAUGACGUCAAAUCAUCAUGCCCCUUAUGUCUUGGGCUACACACGUGCUACAAUGGUCGGUACAACGGGAAGCGAAAGAGCGAUCUGGAGCGAAUCCCAAGAAGCCGAUCCCAGUUCGGAUUGCAGGCUGCAACUCGCCUGCAUGAAGUUGGAGUUGCUAGUAAUCGCGAAUCAGAACGUCGCGGUGAAUACGUUCCCGGGC
rnacentral:rRNA from 1 species